AUUGAACGCUGGCGGCAGGCCUAACACAUGCAAGUCGAACGAGUGGCGGACGGGUGAGUAAUGUCUGGGAAACUGCCUGAUGGAGGGGGAUAACUACUGGAAACGGUAGCUAAUACCGCAUACCAUCAGAUGUGCCCAGAUGGGAUUAGCUUGUUGGUGGGGUAAUGGCUCACCAAGGCGACGAUCCCUAGCUGGUCUGAGAGGAUGACCAGCCAAAAGGGAACUGAGACACGGUCCAGACCCCUAAGGGAGGCCGCAGUGGGGAAUAGUGGACAAUGGGGGAAAGCCGGAUGCAGCCAUGCCGCGUGUAGGAAGAAGGCCUUCGGGUUGAAAAGGACGUUCAGCGGGGAGGCGUUACCCGCAGAAGAAGGACCGGCUAACUCCGUGCCAGCCGCCGCGGUAAUUC
rnacentral:rRNA from 1 species